CCUACGGGAGGCAGCAGUGGGGAAUAUUGCGCAAUGGGCGAAAGCCUGACGCAGCGACGCCGCGUGAGGGAUGAAGGUCUUCGGAUCGUACACCUCUGUCAGCAGGGAAGAACGGUCACUGUGCUAAUCAGCAGUGAAUUGACGGUACCUGCAAAGGAAGCACCGGCUAACUCCGUGUCAGCAGCCGCGGUAAUAAUGAGGGUGCGAGCGUUAAUCGUAAUUACUGGGCGUAAAGCGCUCGUAGGCGGUAUGUCAAGUCAAGGGUGAAAUCCCCGCGCGCAACGUGGGAACUGCCUUUGAAACUGGCAAACUGGAGUGUGUGAGAGGAUAGUGGAAUUCCAGGUGUAGGAGUGAAAGCCGUAGAUAUCUGGAGGAACAUCAGUGGUGAAGGCGACUAUCUGGCACAUAACUGACGCUGAGGAGCGAAAGCGUGGGUAGCAAACAGGAUUAGAUACCCGGGUAGUC
rnacentral:rRNA from 1 species